rnacentral:rRNA from 1 species
UAGGGAAUCUUCCACAAUGGACGCAAGUCUGAUGGAGCAACGCCGCGUGAGUGAAGAAGGUUUUCGGUUCGUAAAGCUCUGUUGUUGGUGAAGAAGGAUAGAGGUAGUAACUGGCCUUUAUUUGACGGUAAUCAACCAGAAAGUCACGGCUAACUACGUGCCAGCAGCCGCGGUAAUACGUAGGUGGCAAGCGUUGUCCGGAUUUAUUGGGCGUAAAGCGAGCGCAGGCGGAAGAAUAAGUCUGAUGUGAAAGCCCUCGGCUUAACCGAGGAACUGCAUCGGAAACUGUUUUUCUUGAGUGCAGAAGAGGAGAGUGGAAUUCCAUGUGUAGCGGUGGAAUGCGUAGAUAUAUGGAAGAACACCAGUGGCGAAGGCGACUCUCUGGUCUGCAACUGACGCUGAGGCUCGAAAGCAUGGGUAGCGAACAGG